rnacentral:rRNA from 1 species
CGAGGGGCGCUACCAUGCAGUCGAGCGAGAUCUUCGGAUCUAGCGGCGGACGGGUGAGUAACGCGUGGGAACGUACCCUCUUCUGCGGGAUAGCCACUGGAAACGGUGAGUAAUACCGCAUACGCCCUUCGGGGGAAAGAUUUAUCGGAGGAGGAUCGGCCCGCGUUGGAUUAGGUAGUUGGUGGGGUAAUGGCCUACCAAGCCUACGAUCCAUAGCUGGUUUUAGAGGAUGAUCAGCCACACUGGGACUGAGACACGGCCCAGACUCCUACGGGAGGCAGCAGUGGGGAAUCUUAGACAAUGGGCGCAAGCCUGAUCUAGCCAUGCCGCGUGAGUGACGAAGGCCUUAGGGUCGUAAAGCUCUUUCGCCUGUGAUGAUAAUGACAGUAGCAGGUAAAGAAACCCCGGCUAACUCCGUGCCAGCAGCCGCGGUAAUACGGAGGGGGUUAGCGUUGUUCGGAAUUACUGGGCGUAAAGCGCACGUAGGCGGAUUGGAAAGUAUGGGGUGAAAUCCCAGGGCUCAACCCUGGAACGGCCUCAUAAACUUCCAGUCUGGAGUUCGAGAGAGGUGAGUGGAAUUCCGAGUGUAGAGGUGAAAUUCGUAGAUAUUCGGAGGAACACCAGUGGCGAAGGCGGCUCACUGGCUCGAUACUGACGCUGAGGUGCGAAAGUGUGGGGAGCAAACAGGAUUAGAUACCCUGGUAG